UUUUCAGAUAGAAAUCGGAUGGUUUCCCCGACGAUUUUCUAACGCGCUAUCCCGUAACUGUGGCCAGGGUCUGGAACGAGUGUGUGACGACCUUUACUACUCUACAUGACGCAGUAAUUAUUAUUGAAAGAAAAGGCAAAUACCGCAUCUGGUGUGACUGCUACUCUCCUAAUCUGAAAAGAUGAAUUUGCGACAUUUCGAAACGUGUGGAUGAUUUGCAAUGUGUGGGCGCAGACAGAGACGAAUAUGGCCAGAAAUUAGCAGUCCACUGCAAAAAGGGAACAUUACGGUAGACGACUGAGGACCGAAAAGGGGCAGUAGUUAAAGGUGGGUGGAUAACUGCUAUAUCUAUAUUGUCGCACUUUGGGUGAGUUCAAAUUGUAUCUCCAAAAGAAUCAUUUACCGAUUUAAACCAUGUCAU